GACGAACGCUGGCGGCGUGCCUAAUACAUGCAAGUUGAGCGAUGAAGAUUGGUGCUUGCACCAAUUUGAAGAGCAGCGAGCGGGUGAGUAACGCGUGGGGAAUCUGCCUUUGAGCGGGGGACAACAUUUGGAAACGAAUGCUAAUACCGCAUAACAACUUUAAACAUAAGUUUUAAGUUUGAAAGAUGCAAUUGCAUCACUCAAAGAUGAUCCCGCGUUGUAUUAGCUAGUUGGUGAGGUAAAGGCUCACCAAGGCGAUGAUACAUAGCCGACCUGAGAGGGUGGUCGGCCACAUUGGGACUGAGACACGGCCCAAACUCCUACGGGAGGCAGCAGUAGGGAAUCUGCGGCAAUGGACGAAAGUCUGACCGAGCAACGCCGCGUGAGUGAAGAAGGUUUUCGGAUCGUAAAACUCUGUUGGUAGAGAAGAACGUUGGUGAGAGUGGAAAGCUCAGCAAGUGACGGUAACUACCCAGAAAGGGACGGCUAACUACGUG
rnacentral:rRNA from 1 species